rnacentral:piRNA from 1 species
UGAAGGUGGUUUUUGCUAGAUAAGGCAUGUC